rnacentral:rRNA from 1 species
GAGUUUGAUCCUGGCUCAGGACAAACGCUGGUGGUGUGCCUAAUACAUGCAAGUCGAACGAGAAAGUUCCUUCGGGGGCGAGUAAAGUGGCGAACGGGUGAGUAACGCGUAGAUAACGUACCUUCAGGUGGGGGAUAACCAGUUGAAAAGCUGGAUAAUACCGCAUAAGACCACAUAUCCGAGGAUAUAGGGGUCAAAGAUUUAUCGCCUGAGGAUCGGUCUGCGUCCGAUUAGUUUGUUGGUGGGGUAAAAGCCUACCAAGACGAUGAUCGGUAGCUGGUCUGAGAGGAUGAUCAGCCACAUUGGGACUGAGACACGGCCCAAACUCCUACGGGAGGCAGCAGUAGGGAAUCUUGCGCAAUGGGGGAAACCCUGACGCAGCGACACCACAUGAGUGAUGAAGGCCUUAGGGUUGUAAAGCUCUGUUCUUGGCGAACAAAAAAUGAGCUUAGUCAAGGAGAAAGGACCGGCUAACUUCGUGCCAGCAGCUGCGGUAAGACGAGGGGUCCAAGCGUUGUCCGGAAUUAUUGGGCGUAAAGCGGGUGUAGGUGGUUUUGUAAGUCAGAAGUGAAAGCCUCAGGCUCAACCUGAGAAGUGCUUUUGAUACUGCAGAGCUUGAGUGUGGAAGAGGGUAGUAGAAUUCCUGGUGUAGCGGUGGAAUGCGUAGAUAUCAGGAGGAAUACCGGAGGCGAAGGCAUCUGCCUGGUCCAACACUGACGCUGAGACCCGAAAGCGUGGGGAGCAAACAGGAUUAGAUACCCUGGUAGUC